AACCAUUAUAUAUAAACAAAAUG
rnacentral:snRNA from 1 species